ensembl:snRNA U2 U2 spliceosomal RNA
AUCACUUCUCGGUCUUUUUGCUAAGAUGAAUUAUAUUAACUGUUCUUAUCAGUUUGAUAUCUGAUAGUCUCCUCUCUGAAGACAAUAUGUUACAUGAAGUUUAGGAAUAGAUGACAUAGGCCUUUGUUCUGUCCGGUCCAUUCAUUGACCUGGUAUUGAAGUAUUUCCAGGAAGGGUGCACUAAAU